GUGAGGGUAGUCUACACAGAUAUUUGGUUUCGACCCAAAAGAACUUAUUCAUUAAGCCCCCACC
rnacentral:tRNA from 1 species